UCCGAGUUGACCCCGGCAGUCUCCUAUGAGUCCCCGCCAUCACGCGCUGGCAACAUAGAACGAGGGUUGCGCUCGUUGCGGGACUUAACCCAACAUCUCACGACACGAGCUGACGACAACCAUGCACCACCUGUAUACGAGUGUCCAAAGAGUUCACGAUCUCUCGUGCGUUCUCGUAUAUGUCAAGCCUUGGUAAGGUUCUUCGCGUUGCAUCGAAUUAAUCCGCAUGCUCCGCCGCUUGUGCGGGCCCCCGUCAAUUCCUUUGAGUUUUAGCCUUGCGGCCGUACUCCCCAGGCGGGGCGCUUAAUGCGUUAGCUGCGGCACGGAACUCGUGGAAUGAGUCCCACACCUAGCGCCCAACGUUUACGGUGUGGACUAC
rnacentral:misc_RNA from 1 species